CGAACGGGUGAGUAACACGUGAGCAACCUACCUUACACAGGGGGAUAGCCGUUGGAAAUGACGAUUAAUACCGCAUGAGACCACAGAAUCGCAUGAUAUAGGGGUCAAAGAUUUAUCGGUGUAAGAAGGGCUCGCGUCUGAUUAGCUAGUUGGAAGGGUAAAGGCCUACCAAGGCGACGAUCAGUAGCCGGUCUGAGAGGAUGAACGGCCACAUUGGAACUGAGACACGGUCCAA
rnacentral:rRNA from 1 species